UACAGAGGUCUCAAGCGUUGUUCGGAUUCAUUGGGCGUAAAGCGUGCGUAGGUGGUUCGUUAAGUCUGAUGUGAAAGCCCUGGGCUCAACCUGGGAAUGGCAUUGGAAACUGGCGACCUAGAGUGCGGUAGAGGGUAGUGGAAUUCCCGGUGUAGCAGUGAAAUGCGUAGAGAUCGGGAGGAACAUCUGUGGCGAAGGCGACUGCCUGGACCAGCACUGACACUGAGGCACGAAAGCGUGGGGAGCAAACAGG
rnacentral:rRNA from 1 species